GGGUCGGACAGUCGCGGGCGCAGCGCCGAAAGGCCGCGCAUGAGGAAAGUCCGGGCUCCGCAGGGCAAGGAUAACGGGUAACGCCCGCCCAGAGCGAUCUGAGGAAAAGUGCAACAGAAAUAAACCGCCGGAGGCAGUGUAAGCUGUCUCCAGCAAGGGUGGAAAGGUGCGGUAAGAGCGCACCCAAUGGCGUGCGAAAGCGUCCAUUGCUGUAAACUCUAUCCGGAGCAACACCGCAGAGGAAGCAAGGCUUGCCCGGCUGCUUCCGAGAAGGUGGCUGGAGCGCACCGGCAACGGUGCGCCUAGAUAGAUGACUGUCGAUGACAGAACCCGGCUUAUAGACCCGAUCG
rnacentral:RNase_P_RNA from 1 species